GAGCUUCGUAUGCAGGCUGAAGCAUGACCGUAAGGACAUGUGGACAGUAUACGAGUGAGAAUGUUGGCAUGAGUAGCGAGACGUGGGUGAGAAUCCCACGGGCCGUAAACCCAAGGUUUCCAGGGGAAGGUUCGUCCGCCCUGGGUUAGUCGGGACCUAAGCCGAGGCCGAAAGGCGUAGGUGAUGGACAACAGGUUGAUAUUCCUGUACCGCCAAUAAGCGUUUGAGAGAUGGAGUGACACAGUAGGAUAAGCUAACCGUACUGUUGGUUAUGUACGGCUAAGCAUUGAGGCAGUCUAAAUAGGCAAAUCCGUUUAGACAAUGCUAGGAUGUGAUGGGGAAGCCCUUCGGGGCGAAGUAGCUGAUUUCACACUGUCAAGAAAAGCUUCUAUCGAGUUUAAAGGCGCCCGUACCGUAAACCGACACAGGUGGGUGAGGAGAGUAUCCUAAGGCCAGCGAGAGAACUAUUGUUAAGGAACUCGGCAAAAUGACCCCGUAACUUAGGGAGAAGGGGUGCCUGUCUAUGACAGGCCGCAGAGAAUAGGCCCAAGCGACUGUUUACCAAAAACACAGGUUUCUGCUAAGUCGCAAGACGAUGUAUAGGAGCUGACGCCUGCCCGGUGCUGGAAGGUUAAGGGGAUCUGUUAGAGCAAUCGAAGCAGUGAACUUAAGCCCCAGUAAACGGCGGCCGUAACUAUAACGGUCCUAAGGUAGCGAAAUUCCUUGUCGGGUAAGUUCCGACCCGCACGAAAGGCGUAACGAUUUGGGCACUGUCUCAACAAUAGACUCGGUGAAAUUGUAAUCCCGGUGAAGAUGCCGGGUACCUGCGACAGGACGGAAAGACCCCAUGGAGCUUUACUGUAGCUUGACGUUGGGUCUUGGUACUACAUGUACAGGAUAGGUGGGAGACUAUGAAGCAUGGACGCCAGUCUGUGUGGAGUCAUCCUUGGGAUACCACCCUUGUAGUACUGGGAUCCUAACCAUAGGCCUUGAAUCAGGUCUUGGAACACCGUCAGGUGGGCAGUUUGACUGGGGCGGUCGCCUCCUAAAAAGUAACGGAGGCGCUCAAAGGUUUCCUCAGCACGGUCGGAAAUCGUGCGAAGAGUGUAAAGGCAAAAGGAAGCUUGAUUGCAAGACAUACAGGUCGAGCAAGGACGAAAGUCGGACUUAGUGAUCCGGUGGUUCCGCAUGGAAGGGCCAUCGCUCAACGGAUAAAAGCUA
rnacentral:rRNA from 1 species